GACGAACGCUGGCGGCGUGCUUAACACAUGCAAGUCGAACGGUGACCUCGAGAGCUUGCUCUUGAGUGAUCAGUGGCGAACGGGUGAGUAACACGUGAGUAACCUGCCCCAGACUCUGGAAUAACCCCGGGAAACCGGAGCUAAUACCGGAUAGGACCUCGGAUCGCAUGAUCUGGGGUGGAAAGUUUUUCGGUCUGGGAUGGACUCGCGGCCUAUCAGCUUGUUGGUGAGGUAAUGGCUCACCAAGGCGUCGACGGGUAGCCGGCCUGAGAGGGUGACCGGCCACACUGGGACUGAGACACGGCCCAGACUCCUACGGGAGGCAGCAGUGGGGAAUAUUGCACAAUGGGCGCAAGCCUGAUGCAGCAACGCCGCGCGCGGGAUGACGGCCUUCGGGUUGUAAACCGCUUUUAGUAAGGAAGAAGCCGCAAGGUGACGGUACUUGCAGAAAAAGGACCGGCUAACUACGUGCCAGCAGCCGCGGUAAUAC
rnacentral:rRNA from 1 species